UACAGAGGUCCCAAGCGUUGUUCGGAUUCACUGGGCGUAAAGGGUGCGUAGGUGGCUGGGUAAGUUUGAUGUGAAAUCUCCGGGCUUAACCCGGAAAUGGCAUUGAAUACUAUUCGGCUAGAGGUUUGGAGGGGGGACUGGAAUUCUCGGUGUAGCAGUGAAAUGCGUAGAUAUCGAGAGGAACACCAGUGGCGAAGGCGAGUCCCUGGACAACACCUGACACUGAGGCACGAAAGCUAGGGGAGCAAACAGGG
rnacentral:rRNA from 1 species